CCCAGUGACAAUAACAGCAAAUUUCUACCCUGUUGUCAGCUCUCAAGUGGCCUUUGCCCGAUGACCUCAUCUUCCUGUGCCUCACGCCGUUCAUCUGGGGGAUGAAGACAGCGGUGGUGGGUGCUGAAAAGGCCACCCCAGGAGUAAAGUGUGAUGGUGUCUGUCCUCUGCAGAGGUUCCUGCUCUUAGUCCUCCGCUAAGGGAAUGACAGUCCCCCUGCAGAGGAGAGUCCUUGAAACCCAGACAUCAAGGGACCCACUGGAAGCCAGAGGUCCAGAACCAGGCUCAGACACAAUCAUUGACCCCAGACUCACUCAGUUACCUGUAAGCCCAGCUUCUUCAGGUGUUUUUUUGUUUUGUUUUUUUAAUCUUUUUUUUUUUCUGUCUUUCUUGUUAUAACAAAACUGUUCUCACGAAUGUUUGGAGAGAAAAAAAAAAUUAACUGACGGCAAUGGAAACUCUAAUACUAGAGAAAUGUCAAGAAAGCAAACACUGGUUUCAAUAAGCCCUGCCUGGCAGCUCAUGGAAAGAAGCUUGAAACCAUCAAAAUACAAAAACCCCCUCCGCUGGGGAGCUCUUUGGAGGUACGAGCGCGUACUUAAGAAACAUCUCCAACUCAAAACCCCCUUGGUGGACAGUGUUUUGGUGUGAGUCUACCCAGCCCCAGCCUAUGAUGGUCACCCACCUGUCCAGGCUGCCCUUUGCACUACCAGAUACUCACCCACCUGCUCCAUCUUCGGCUGGAAGGUCUGGGCUAGGUUUUCCAGGUGGAGCUCUGCAAAGAUACCAGGAGUGGAGCUUUAGUGGGGUGAGCAGCAGGUUAGGGACAGGCAGGGCAGGACCUAGGCAAGGCCAACAUAAAGCAGCCACCUCCCUAGGGGACCCCAAGACACAUGCACACUUACUCUGCUGGAUCCGCCUCCUGCAGGCCUUCCAGUAACACAGGAAGAAGGUGCUGGAGCCAAGCAGCAGAAUCACCAUGGCCACCCAGAAGAGCAUGGGCCCUGAAACACAGUGCCGUCCUGUACUGUGUGGACAGUUAGGCCAUUUGGGACAGCCCUAGGCACAGCCUACUUCCUCCUCCUCCAGGGACAUGGGUCCCACUAAGAUGAGUAGUUCUGGACCUUCCCCAGGCUGGACCAUUCCUCAGGCUGGACCAUCUGAUUGAGCCCUCACCGGCCUGCCCCUCCCCCUGUCACCUGGCUCCAGGAAGCUGGUCAGCUAACUCAGGAAGUGAGAAAAACAAGCCAUCUAGAGGGUGAUACAUUAAGGCAUCAAGGAAUCAAUCAGAACAAUUCCAGCAUGGUUGGUGCCCGCCUGUAAUCCCAGCAGUAGGGAUGUAGGGGACAGUGUAAGCCUCGCCUGAUAGAAGCUGGCUACAGGUGUGCCUGACUACAGGGCGUGGUCAAGGUGAGGUCAGGAUGAUGCGAGAUAGGGUUUUAAGAGACUGCAAGGCACAUGGGAGCCCCUUCUCUCUGGCCUGCCUGCCUUGCUGCCCCUGGCAUGCUCUGGCUUGCGUUUGGCUGGUGUUUUUCUAAUAAAGGAUAUUUUUAUCCCAAGCUCCUUUAUUUCUUAAUAUCUGGCGCCCACCAGAAAUCCACAACCCAUUCAGGCUUAUUGUGAGCCCUCUGGGCCCAGCCCAGAAACUGCGUGACCCAAGAGGGCCCUAGGAUACCGCUGCACUCCAGGUCUCUGCACUGCUUCGACCCAAAACCCUAGAAGCUUGCACCUUGACCCGCUGCUACCGAAGUUCCUGGGAACACAGUAAGUUAAACCUUCUAGGCCUGUGGCCUCUCCCGCACCCAAAGCGCUCGGGUCGGGCCCUCCACCCGGCUGGGAGAGUUUUAAAUUUCCCACAAGCCUCCCUGCGGUUUUUACUGCUUUAGGCAGCAAAUACCACAGCCGCUUUCAGCCGCAGGCUCUCAUUUAGAUCUAACUGCGUGUGCACGCCUGCGGCCCGGAGUCGAGAGCCGCACAGCUAGGCCCAUUUUGCAUUUUGUCCUGCCACACCAAACUGGGACAGUUUUUUUUGUUACUGCGGGCCUCCAAAGCCAAAGGAGCACUACCGCCCUGAACACCUGCGCCACCUGCUGGUCAAAGUGGUUACUGCAUCUGGAGUGGAAGCAUUCAUCUAGCUGAAAACCUCCUACCGCAUCUGGAGUAGACGCUGACUGGUAAAUAUGGCCAAAUAUUUAUCGUUCUCCUCAAUUGGUAACAUUUUCACUUCUUAUUAUGUCUCCACAAAAGUGGAACAGUUUUUCAAAUAUUAUAACAUAAAGCAUGUCACCAGUAUGCCACACAAUCCUACAGGACAAGCAGUGGUUGAGAAAUCCAAUAGAACACUA